GUAAGGUCCUGUCAAUCGCCAGGGGUGCCAACUGUUAAGUAUAAAAACGAUAGCCCUCAUUGAGUAGGUUUCUGAGGUAGGAGCUGUGCGGGAGGGGUGACAAGUGACGUAAGAGAACUGUCACGGGGUGACAAGUGACGUAAUAGAGCUAGCUGUCACGAGGUGACAUGUGACAUUAUAGAGCUGUCAAUAUACAUGUAUGACGUAACAACUACGUCGCUCUGCUACAGCCUAGAACCUACUAAGUUGAUCGCUACGCCUCACACAGGUGAAAUGUACGUAAUUUGUGGCCAAAAUUAAAAAAAGCAAAGUUACUCCGAUUCUAAAUCAGUAACCUAAUAUAGGAACAAGACAUAUGGCGCCAUCUAUAAAUGAUAUUUAAAAAGUUUAACACUUUUUAUCCAGAUACCCACAACAUUUGAUUUAAACAGUUUUUCUUGUUGAGUAAUUUAUUAUAAUUUUUAGCUCUUGUUUAACAACAACGUUUAACUUUUAUUUAGUUGAUAUUUGGUAUAAAACAUAUGGAUUCUAUACUUCCAGGUUAGUUUAUUAUUUCUGUAUUACUAAACAGUCUACAUUACUUACCAUGUUAUAGAUAUACAAUAUGUAACGGAAACACCGUCCGAUCCAUUAAGGUGUUAAUAGGUAUCGAGUUAAGAUUCCAUUUGUGUAAUAAUUUUCAUAAAAUAUUAUAAAAAAAAUACCCCAUGAAAAAUAAAUACAAAAUUUACAAAAAUAAAAUAGCUUACAUGGCAAUCCAAACGGCAGUGUAGAGGGUACGCGGGAGGGGUAGAGAUGCGCCGGCACGCGUAGCGACGUCAUAAGGUCAUGACCCCCAGCGUCUUAAAAAAAGCCGCGCGCCGACAGAGUGUUAACGCUUUUUGAAAAUUUCCCCGUUGUAGGGUAAAUCAUUGCUAAACUUAUUGACUUUAAAAAUCGAUAAAAAAAUUGUUUUUAUUAAUUACGUAAUUUUGAUACUUGUUUUGGUAAUGUUGUUAAAGCUACUUUAUGACCCUUUCGGAUCGGACGGUGUUUUUGUUACAUAUUGUAUAGUGAAUUUGAAAAGA